rnacentral:rRNA from 1 species
AGUGAACGCUGGCGGUAGGCCUAACACAUGCAAGUCGAACGGCAGCACAGUAAGAGCUUGCUCUUACGGGUGGCGAGUGGCGGACGGGUGAGGAAUACAUCGGAAUCUACUUUUUCGUGGGGGAUAACGUAGGGAAACUUACGCUAAUACCGCAUACUACCUACGGGUGAAAGCAGGGGAUCUUCGGACCUUGCGCGAUUGAAUGAGCCGAUGUCGGAUUAGCUAGUUGGCGGGGUAAAGGCCCACCAAGGCGACGAUCCGUAGCUGGUCUGAGAGGAUGAUCGGCCACACUGGAACUGAGACACGGUCCAGACUCAUACGGGAGGCAGCAGUGGGGAAUAUUGGAAAAUGGGCGCAAGCCUGAUCCAGCCAUACCACGUGGGUGAAGAAGGCCUUCGGGUUGUAAACCCCUUUUGUUGGGAAAGAAAAGCAGCAGGUUAAUACCCCGCUGUUCUGACGGUACCCAAAGAAUAAGCACCGGCUAACUUCGUG